UACAGAGGGUGCGAGCGUUGUCCGGAAUCACUGGGCGUAAAGGGCGCGUAGGUGGUGGCUUAAGCGUGCGGUGAAAGCUCGGGGCUCAACCCCGAGUCGGCCGUGCGAACUGGGCUCACUGGAGCAUAGUAGAGGCAGGUGGAAUUCCGGGUGUAGCGGUGGAAUGCGUAGAGAUCCGGAAGAACACCGGUGGCGAAGGC
rnacentral:rRNA from 1 species